rnacentral:lncRNA from 1 species
CUAUUUGGUGGAUGUGGAAGGAGAGAUGUAAUAGAAUCUUUGAAUGUCAACACACAAACAAUGCUCAGCUCUUGAAAGAGAUUAUUAGAGACUCAAGAUCCUGUAUGGAGCAUGAUCUCAAAACCGAGCACUUCACCCGAAGAGAAAAAGAUAUUUUUAUCAAAUUUAAUUUUGCUAUUAGCUAAAGAUAUUGGGAAUGAUGCCAAAUAAUGUACCCACAAGUAGUUAUAGUCUACAGCAUGUGUAGUCAUAACUAACGCAUUCGCACUCUAUGAGUUACUUGGCUUUGUCUAUGACUUGUAUAGAUAAAGCUAUUUGUAGAAACUUUACACAAAAUCAAUUUACUUUUACUUACCAAAAAAAAA